rnacentral:lncRNA from 1 species
GCUGAUGUGUCUUUGAAGCACCCACCACCACCUCGCAACACAUCCUAUGUGCAGCACCACACUAGGAUUAGCUUCAGGAGGGGAGGGGUGUUGUCGGGUUCCCCUGAGCAUCCCUAAUGCCUGGAAUAGCUCCCAGCACACACGGUGGGCCAAAUGUUGAUUCCUGUGUGUAGAAGGAGUGGGCCAGCAGCUGAGCAUGCCCAGGCCAUCUUCCUAUCUGGCUCUGCGAGGCAGGCCUGCUUCCACCGAUGGGGAUGUGCCAUAUCUCUUGCUUACUUGAUGAGUCUGACCUUCAUUGCCCCCAGGCCUGUGCUGGUCUUUUGGGGUACUGGGCUCACUUCGAGCUUUCCCUUGAGUUCAGGGAGUGGGGUAAGGCUGAACACUCCUAGCCAAAGUCUGCUGCUGCUUUGACCUCCUCAGAGGGGAUUCUGGAAGAACAACCUUCGGACCCUGUGCAGAUGGUGUCUUCAGCCUGGCUUGGGACUUAGAAGACCUGGGUUGCAUUCCUAACUGAUUUCAAUUCCAGUGGAACUUUGAGUUAGUCCUGUUCUCUUUCUGAGCCUCCGUCUUCUCAUCUGUAAAAUGGACAUAGGACAAUACUAUUUCCUUUAGAAAGGUGAUAGAGAUCUUAGAGCCCCUGCUCAAGGAUGCCCAUUGUUCUGGCCCGAGUGCGUUUUUAGGCCAAAGCAAUGGGAGGAUAAAGGAAGGAGUAACCUGACCUGCAGAUGGUGGAUGGAUGACUGGCUAAAGUGUCUAAGCAGCCGGGGAGGGCGUGGGAGACGGCCAGGCCGGAGGUGGACUGAGCUCCAGGCAGAGUCCUAGAGAUUAGCCCUGAGCUAACAUCCGCCACCAAUUCUCCUCUUUUUGCUGAGGAAGACUGGCCCUGAGCUAACAUCCGUGCCCAUCUUCCUCUCCUUUGUAUGUGGGAUGCUGGCCACAGCAUGGCGUGAAGCUUUGAAACCUCAGGAAAAGAAAGCAGUCUUUCAGCAAAAGAAUAAUAGCAACAACAAAAGCCCAAAGUCCAGACAAACAUCUCUUAUUUUUCCUUUUUCUGUCUCCACCCAGUACUAUUUUUCUUUUUUUUUUGAGGACGAUUAGCCUGAGCUAACAUCUGCUGCCAAUCCUCCUCUUUUUGCUGAGGAAGACUGGCCCUGAGCUAACAUCUGUGCCCAUCUCCCUCUACUUUUUAUGUGGGACGACCACCACAGCAUGGCUUGACAAGUGGUGAACUGGCGAACCCGGGCCACUGAAGCGGAACGUGUGAGCUUAACUGCUGCGCCACUGGGCCGGCCCCCACCCAGACUAUUUUUUAGGUUCAGAAACAACCAUAAAAAUAAAAUAACAGGAUAAGCAGUGGAAUCUCCAAUUUUUCCUUUUUUCCUGGCCUAUUUCAUGUCUAAUACAUCUCUUCAUCUAGCCUUUCUCCUAAGUUUCUCUGCAAUCUAGUUUUCAGAGUGAAAGCCUGUGAACAGUUGUGGUGAAGCCAUUCCGGAAGCAGCUUCAUGCUCCCUCCCGCUGGGGCCGCCCCUUGACCAGAUGCACCGGCGGCAGUCUCCAUUCCCGAGAGCAGUGCCCUGGACAGAGAUCUUUGGGCCUUGUUGUAGACUCAGCCGCAUCAUACCCGAGGCCGUGGUCUUCUCAUUCACCAACUGCACAGCUUCACCAUUUAAAAAUAGGAGGACGUAUAUUUUACUCUGCACCAGAUUGUUCCCGGUUAUCGUUUCACUCACCAAUUGGCGUUGUAUUCUGGUUUAACUCAGAAGUACCGUUCAUGAACUAUUUUAUCUCAGUCGAGCUGUCAUGAUAAAUUUGGGACCAGACGUUACCUGAGCCUGAGGUCCUUGCUCUGUGGGAGUUAAGAAGGAAAGUGGUUACAUGUGUACAAUCCAUCCACGAUUGAUCAUCGGCUGUCUCCUGUCUUCUGUAGUCUUGAACUUCCACUUCAUCCUUCCUGUUAGACAUGUCAGUGAAUUAAUAUGCAAGCAGUCACUGUGAACAUAGCCUCAUUUGGCCAAGGGGACUUCACAGAUGUGGUUAAGUUGAGGAUCCUGAGAUGGGAGAUCGUCCUGGAUGACCUGGGUGGGCUCUUAUCAGCGGGCGGUGGGAGCUGCCGAGUCAGGGGAGAAGGCCAUGUGAACAUGGGAGCAGACUGGAGUGAUGAAGCUGGUACCUUCAGAAGCUGAAAGAGCCUCCAGAUGCAACCACCCUGCUCACACGCUGCCGUGCGCCCUUUCAGCCUCGCUUUGGACUUCUGACCUCAGAAUGUAAGAAAAUAAAUUUGGGUUGUUUUAAAC